CGUUCUUUCUUCUUCUUUUUGACUACUUACUUUAUUCAGGCUCCUCUCUCUCUAAACUUUUUCUCUCUCUCUCUCUCUCUAAACUUUCUCUCUCCUCUCUCUCUCCACCAUCACCCGCUUCGGAGACAACGCCGGAACACCGUAUACUCUACCGGAAAACUGCCGGAAAAUACUCUGUUCUUAUUCUCUGAAGUAGACCGCUCCGACCAAGUCUCGGAGAACCGGGUUUUUUUCGUUUCUUCUUCACCCGGUCCAAGUUGCUGCAUGAGUUGA